GUCAGGAGAUGCAUCUGAGUCAUAGGCUCUUCUUUUUUGUUUUUUAGAACACUCAUGGGCUCCUUUUAAAAAAAAGAGUGAGGCUGGCUAAACCAAGGUUUUAGAAAAUCCCCAUAUUACCAAAAAUACCUUUUAUCUAUAUCUCCUGAUUUGCGUCUUAAGUUGUUGAAAUAGUUAUAUUACAUGAAGAUUCUAUUUUCAUCCUCAUGUAUCUCAUAGGGUUAGGG
rnacentral:lncRNA from 1 species